rnacentral:rRNA from 1 species
UACGGGGGGGGCAAGCGUUGUUCGGAAUUACUGGGCGUAAAGGGCGCGUAGGCGGCCUGCUAAGUCGGACGUGAAAUCCCUCGGCUCAACCGGGGAACUGCGUCCGAUACUGGUGGGCUCGAAUCCGGGAGAGGGAUGUGGAAUUCCAGGUGUAGCGGUGAAAUGCGUAGAUAUCUGGAGGAAUACCGGUGGCGAAGGCGGCAUCCUGGACCAUAACUGACGCUGAGGCGCGAAAGCUAGGGGAGCAAACGGG